rfam:Oryza sativa (indica cultivar-group) chromosome 2, whole genome shotgun sequence.
CCCAAAAAAAGGCAUGAGCUUUCCGUGUCCAACUUUGACGGUCUGUCUUAUAUGACAUUUUUUAUAAUUCGUAUUUUCAUUGUUGUUAGACGAUAAAACAUGAUUAAUAUUUUAUGCGUGACUUGUCUUUUCAAUUUUUUUAUAAUUUUUUCAAAUAAGACGGACGGUCAAACAUUAGGCACGGAAACCAGGGUUUGUUUUUUUA